GGGACACGUGGUAUCCUGUCUGAAUAUGGGGGGACCAUCCUCCAAGGCUAAAUACUCCUGACUGACCGAUAGUGAACCAGUACCGUGAGGGAAAGGCGAAAAGAACCCCGGCGAGGGGAGUGAAAAAGAACCUGAAACCGUGUACGUACAAGCAGUGGGAGCCUCUUAAUGGGGUGACUGCGUACCUUUUGUAUAAUGGGUCAGCGACUUAUAUUCUGUAGCAAGGUUAACCGAAUAGGGGAGCCGAAGGGAAACCGAGUCUUAACUGGGCGUUAAGUUGCAGGGUAUAGACCCGAAACCCGGUGAUCUAGCCAUGGGCAGGUUGAAGGUUGGGUAACACUAACUGGAGGACCGAACCGACUAAUGUUGAAAAAUUAGCGGAUGACUUGUGGCUGGGGGUGAAAGGCCAAUCAAACCGGGAGAUAGCUGGUUCUCCCCGAAAGCUAUUUAGGUAGCGCCUCGUGAAUUCAUCUCCGGGGGUAGAGCACUGUUUCGGCAAGGGGGUCAUCCCGACUUACCAACCCGAUGCAAACUGCGAAUACCGGAGAAUGUUAUCACGGGAGACACACGGCGGGUGCUAACGUCCGUCGUGAAGAGGGAAACAACCCAGACCGCCAGCUAAGGUCCCAAAGUCAUGGUUAAGUGGGAAACGAUGUGGGAAGGCCCAGACAGCCAGGAUGUUGGCUUAGAAGCAGCCAUCAUUUAAAGAAAGCGUAAUAGCUCACUGGUCGAGUCGGCCUGCGCGGAAGAUGUAACGGGGCUAAACCAUGCACCGAAGCUGCGGCAGCGACACUAUGUGUUGUUGGGUAGGGGAGCGUUCUGUAAGCCUGUGAAGGUGGCCUGUGAGGGUUGCUGGAGGUAUCAGAAGUGCGAAUGCUGACAUAAGUAACGAUAAAGCGGGUGAAAAGCCCGCUCGCCGGAAGACCAAGGGUUCCUGUCCAACGUUAAUCGGGGCAGGGUGAGUCGACCCCUAAGGCGAGGCCGAAAGGCGUAGUCGAUGGGAAACAGGUUAAUAUUCCUGUACUUGGUGUUACUGCGAAGGGGGGACGGAGAAGGCUAUGUUGGCCGGGCGACGGUUGUCCCGGUUUAAGCGUGUAGGCUGGUUUUCCAGGCAAAUCCGGAAAAUCAAGGCUGAGGCGUGAUGACGAGGCACUACGGUGCUGAAGUGACAAAUGCCCUGCUUCCAGGAAAAGCCUCUAAGCAUCAGGUAACAUCAAAUCGUACCCCAAACCGACACAGGUGGUCAGGUAGAGAAUACCAAGGCGCUUGAGAGAACUCGGGUGAAGGAACUAGGCAAAAUGGUGCCGUAACUUCGGGAGAAGGCACGCUGAUAUGUAGGUGAAGCGACUUGCUCGUGGAGCUGAAAUCAGUCGAAGAUACCAGCUGGCUGCAACUGUUUAUUAAAAACACAGCACUGUGCAAACACGAAAGUGGACGUAUACGGUGUGACGCCUGCCCGGUGCCGGAAGGUUAAUUGAUGGGGUUAGCGGUAACGCGAAGCUCUUGAUCGAAGCCCCGGUAAACGGCGGCCGUAACUAUAACGGUCCUAAGGUAGCGAAAUUCCUUGUCGGGUAAGUUCCGACCUGCACGAAUGGCGUAAUGAUGGCCAGGCUGUCUCCACCCGAGACUCAGUGAAAUUGAACUCGCUGUGAAGAUGCAGUGUACCCGCGGCAAGACGGAAAGACCCCGUGAACCUUUACUAUAGCUUGACACUGAACAUUGAGCCUUGAUGUGUAGGAUAGGUGGGAGGCUUUGAAGUGUGGACGCCAGUCUGCAUGGAGCCGACCUUGAAAUACCACCCUUUAAUGUUUGAUGUUCUAACGUUGGCCCGUAAUCCGGGUUGCGGACAGUGUCUGGUGGGUAGUUUGACUGGGGCGGUCUCCUCCUAAAGAGUAACGGAGGAGCACGAAGGUUGGCUAAUCCUGGUCGGACAUCAGGAGGUUAGUGCAAUGGCAUAAGCCAGCUUGACUGCGAGCGUGACGGCGCGAGCAGGUGCGAAAGCAGGUCAUAGUGAUCCGGUGGUUCUGAAUGGAAGGGCCAUCGCUCAACGGAUAAAAGGUACUCCGGGGAUAACAGGCUGAUACCGCCCAAGAGUUCAUAUCGACGGCGGUGUUUGGCACCUCGAUGUCGGCUCAUCACAUCCUGGGGCUGAAGUAGGUCCCAAGGGUAUGGCUGUUCGCCAUUUAAAGUGGUACGCGAGCUGGGUUUAGAACGUCGUGAGACAGUUCGGUCCCUAUCUGCCGUGGGCGCUGGAGAACUGAGGGGGGCUGCUCCUAGUACGAGAGGACCGGAGUGGACGCAUCACUGGUGUUCGGGUUGUCAUGCCAAUGGCACUGCCCGGUAGCUAAAUGCGGAAGAGAUAAGUGCUGAAAGCAUCUAAGCACGAAACUUGCCCCGAGAUGAGUUCUCCCUGACUCCUUGAGAGUCCUGAAGGAACGUUGAAGACGACGACGUUGAUAGGCCGGGUGUGUAAGCGCAGCGAUGCGUUGAGCUAACCGGUACUAAUGAACCGUGAGGCUUAACCUUACAACGCCGAAG
rnacentral:rRNA from 1 species